CUUAGAUGGGCCCUCAGUGUCUCUCAUGAGGCUAUAAUCAAAAUGUCAGCUGGGGUUGAGAGUUCAUCUGAAAGCCCAACUGAGUGAAGAUCUGCUUCCAAGAUUGCAGGGCUGUUGGAUCAAGUCACUUAAGAAGAUGAGGUUAGACAAAUGGAAAAGAUGUCACCAGGAGAACCCUAUGACAAAUAUGUUUACAUUUACAUGAUUUUGUCUCUACUCUUCAUUAGUCCUGUGACCCUAAGAAGACCAUAGGUGCCUGAAAAAGAGAUUUAAAACUAUAGCCUCCAAUUUCUGGAUCCUGAUAUUUGUUCCCCUAUCCAGCUUUAUCAUUAGUUCCUGGAUUAACUUUUUAUAUAAAGACUUCUAAACUCUUCAUGUAGCUCUGAUAGGUUAAAUUGUUUCCCUAUUAUUACUUUGGUGUGUCAAUCAGUUAUUGCUGUGUAAAAAAACAACACAAAAC
rnacentral:lncRNA from 1 species